GAUGAACGCUAGCGGCGUGCCUAAUACAUGCAAGUCGAGCGAACGGACGAGAAGCUUGCUUUUCUGAUGUUAGCGGCGGACGGGUGAGUAACACGUGGAUAACCUACCUAUAAGACUGAGAUAACUUCGGGAAACCGGAGCUAAUACCUGAUAAUAUUUUGAACCGCAUGGUUCAAAAGUGAAAGACAAUCUUGAUGUCACUUAUAGAUGGAUCCGCGCUGCAUUAGAUAUUGUGUAAGGUAACGGCUUACCAACGCAACGAUACAUAGCCGACGUGAGAGGAGGAGCGGCCACCCUGGAACGGAGACGAGGUACAGACCCCUAUCGGAGGCAGCGGUAGGGAAACUUACACAAUGCGAGAAAGCCUGAUGGGGCAACGCCGCGUGAGUGAUGAAGAUCCUGGGCUCUGAAUAGUAUGUUAUUAUGGAACAACAUAUGUGGAAGUUACGGUGCCCAGCCUGAGGGUACCGAAACAGAAAGCAACGGCUAACUACGUG
rnacentral:rRNA from 1 species